GUGUCAGCCGCCGCGGUAAUACGUAGGUGGCGAGCGUUGUUCGGAUUUAUUGGGCGUAAAGGGUCUGUAGGAGGUUUGUUAAAUACGGGGUGAAAUCCCGAAGCUCAACUUCGGAAUUGCCUUGUAGACUGACGGACUGGAGUACCGGAGAGGUAAGCGGAAUACCAGGUGUAGCGGUGGAAUGCGUAGAUAUCUGGUAGAACACCAAAAGCGAAGGCAGCUUGCUGGACGGAAACUGACUCUGAAAGACGAAAGCAUGGGGAGCAAACAGGAUUAGAUACCCUGGUAGUCCAUGCCGUAAACGUUGUCAACUUGAUGUGGGGGGAUUUAGUCCUCUCCGUAUCGAAGCUAACGCGAUAAGUUGACCGCCUGGGGACUACGGCCGCAAGGCUAAAACUCAAAUGAAUUGACGG
rnacentral:rRNA from 1 species